AUUUACUGUUUGGUUACCCUAUUGUCAUGAAUCAGUCCGUUUCCCCCUCAGACCACCAGAGGGAGCCAUCGCCUGAGUUCUGCCUGUCUCCUGAUUCUCAUCUUCACUCCAUUUCCCAUAAGCCUCUGCCUGCUGUUCCCAGACCUCACCAGCUGUUCCUCAUUCAAGCAAUCACCACAAACAUUUAUAAGGAGGCUUCAGGCUGUGUUCAGAUGUGAAGUCUUGUUCGUUUCUACAAUUCUGAGCGUUAGCUUCUACUGUCUUGUUCCUGUGCAAGUCUGCCGUUCCUGACCUCUGCCAAGUUCACCACGUACUAUCCAAGCUCCUUAAAUAUGGUUAUGGAUCCAUCUGACUCGUUACACCUAUAAAGAGAUGAUAAGGUGUCCGGUUUGCAUUUUUGAAAUACAUCAGAAAGUCAGUGAGACGUGAAAAAUAGUGGAUGAAUCAUUGCUCGAGCUCGACACGUCGCUCCUCAACACGUCACCGCUCUCCAGACAGACAGAAACACAAGUUUCCUCUCGUUUGCCUGAUUUUCCCGGGACUGAGGAAUGCUGAAAGUCCGUAGGUGUUUCCACCUCACCUUGGUUACUGAUUGGAUGGGACUGCGGCUGCGGGUGAGUCACGGCAGCUCGCAGCAGGUGUGGUUUAGUGAUGACCAGCUUCUGUUAGCAUCAAAGGGAAGGCUGGGUCAGCUGGAUCGAGAGGAAACUUUGCAGGAGCUCUCAUGCACGUAGAGGCUGAAAACACCCACGCUGUGCGUGCCCCUCUGCUUUUCUGCGAGGCCCUGCCCUGCCCUAAAGGUGUACAAACAGGUGUGUGCUUGCAUACAUCAGCAAGAAGAAAAGGAUUACCUUGUGACGGAUGCUUGUCUCUCCGCCAGUGACAUGAGCAUCGCCUCAAUUCGGUAUUUCAUCUGGACUUCCCAGCGCUCUUUGGAGCGUGUUACAAAGAAACCAGGUGAAGAAUUCCAAGCUCAUCAGGUUGUAUUAUUUCAAGUCCAAGUUUUAAAGCCUCAAAAGCUCAAACUCCACAGGCCUCAGCGCUGGAGGCGCCUUGGAGACAGGAUUAGGUGGAAGGAUCAGUCAGUAACAUUCCAUCAGUCUGAAUGCUUUUCGGUGUGCAUGUCCAGCAAGCAGAAGUAAAGAGAAAAGGAGCUCAUUAACAGAGGCGUUGUCCGUUUAGAAGUGGUUUCUGAGCAUCACUUUAAAGACCGUCUUCCAGAAAGAUUACCUGAACAUGUCCUAAUGCUAUAAAACAGCAUAUUUAAUGAUGAUGGACUUCAAAGCAAUCACCACAACAAAGAACAAAGCCGGCCUUUAAAUUGUAAAAGGAAUGAAGGUAAAAAUGAUCUGUGAAACUAAACGUUUCCAGAGAGCGCCCAAACAAAUUUAGACAAUCCACGGGAAUUCCACGGAAAUCCCGUGACUCAUGGGAUUCCCCAAAAAAUGUCAGCCUCUAAUGUGAACAUUACAGUUUUUUAUUUACAUCACUAUGCAUGAAUUAACUCCUCUUUUGUUGCAUCAAUUCAAUUCUGGUUUAAUUGAUGAAGGUUAUCUCCUUCUGUAUGUCCACCGUUGCUUGACAAAGUUGUGUUGCUGCUGUCUUUUGUGUUGUUUUCAUCUAAUUUGUUCAGAAAUUCUCUUGAAGACUUGAAGUUUUGGUUAAAGAUAAAAGUAGAAACUGCGUACACACAAUAGGUUUCAUCUCUGUGUGCACAAAUGGAACAGGAGAUGAAAGGUCAAAGGUGGACUUGUUUAGUUGUUUAAACUCCUAAAACCUGGAGGCCACGCUGACACGGAGAUCUGAGCUGGUAAGCUAAGCAGGUCAAAGUUUGCUUCUUCUCACACCCACCUACUUCUAGGAUGUCAACUGUGAUGACAUCAGACUUGGCCUUGCCCAGCUGGUUGGAGGCCUCCACCCAGAUCUCGUACGGCGUGAAGAGGUGGAGGUCCUGGGUGAUGCUGCAGGAGUACGGCAGAGUGUGGCUGUUGUCCUUGCACUCCUUCUCUGUGCCGUACCAUCUGUGAACACAAACCACGGAAAUCACUGGAUUGUAAAGUACCACACUUCAUAAAAUACCAUCAUCUUUUUUUUACUUAUUUGCAGACUUUUUUCAAAUUAAAAAAAAAAUUAAGCU